rnacentral:tRNA from 1 species
GCCAGGGUGGCUGAGAGGCUACGCAAUCGCCUGCAGAGCGAUUCCAUUCCGGUUCGAGUCUGGAUACUGGCU